AGCGAACGCAGGCGGCAGGCCUAACACAUGCAAGUCGAACGGAUCCUUCGGGAUUAGUGGCGGACGGGUGAGUAACACGUGGGAACGUGCCCUUUGGUUCGGAACAACUCAGGGAAACUUGAGCUAAUACCGGAUGUGACCUUCGGGGGAAAGAUUUAUCGCCAUUGGAGCGGCCCGCGUCUGAUUAGCUAGUUGGUGAGGUAAAGGCUCACCAAGGCGACGAUCAGUAGCUGGUCUGAGAGGAUGAUCAGCACAUUGGGACUGAGACACGGCACAAACUCCUACGGGAGGCAGCAGUGGGUAAUCUUGCGCAAUGGGCGAAAGCCUGACGCAGCCAUGCCGCGUGAAUGAUGAAGGUCUUAGGAUUGUAAAAUUCUUUCACCGGGGACGAUAAUGACGGUACCCGGAGAAGAAGCCCCGGCUAACUUCGUGCCAGCCGCCGCCGUAA
rnacentral:rRNA from 1 species